CCUACGGGUGGCAGCAGUGGGGGAUAUUGCACAAUGGGGGGAAGCCUGAUGCAGCGACGCCGCGUGGGUGAAGAAGGGCCUCGGCGCGUAAAGCCCUGUUAGUAGGGAAGAAAAUGACGGUACCUGAAGAAGAAGCACCGGCUAACAACGUGCCAGCAGCCGCGGUAAUAAGUAGGGGGCAAGCGUUAUCCGGAAUUACUGGGUGUAAAGGGUGAGUAGGCGGCAGGGUAGGCCAGAUGUGAAAGCCUUGGGCUUAACCCGAGGAGUGCAUUUGAAACUGUCAAGCUAGAGUGCAGGAGAGGAAAGCGGAAUGCCUGGUGUAGCGGUGAAAUGCGUAGAUAUUAGGAAGAACACCAGUGGCGAAGGCGGCUUUCUGGACUGAAACUGACGCUGAGGCACGAAAGCGUGGGGAGCGAACAGGAUUAGAUACCCCAGUAGUC
rnacentral:rRNA from 1 species